rnacentral:rRNA from 1 species
UACAGAGACUGCAAGCGUUAUUCGGAUUCACUGGGCGUAAAGGGUGCGCAGGCGGCCGUGUGUGUCAGGUGUGAAAGCCCGGGGCUUAACCCCGGAAUUGCGCCUGAAACUACAUGGCUAGAGCAUUGGAGAGGGUAGCGGAAUUCACGGUGUAGCAGUGAAAUGCGUAGAUAUCGUGAGGAACACCAGAGGCGAAGGCGGCUACCUGGACAAUUGCUGACGCUCAGGCACGAAAGCGUGGGGAGCAAAAAGGG